GCUGGCUUAGCUCAGUAGGUAGAGCAAUUGAUUCGUAAUCAAUAGGUCGCAGGUUCGAUUCCCGUAGCCAGCACCA
rnacentral:tRNA from 1 species